rnacentral:rRNA from 1 species
UGAGGAAUAUUGGUCAAUGGGCGGAAGCCUGAACCAGCCAAGUCGCGUGAGGGAAUAAGGCCCUACGGGUCGUAAACCUCUUUUGCCGGGGAGCAAGGGCGGGGACGUGUUCCGGCCCGGAGAGUACCCGGAGAAAAAGCAUCGGCUAACUCCGUGCC